UACAGAGGUCUCAAGCGUUUGUUCGGAUUCAUUGGGCGUAAAGGGUGCGUAGGUGGCGCGAUAAGUCGGGUGUGAAAUCUCGGAGCUUAACUCCGAAAUUGCAUUCGAUACUGCCGUGCUCGAGGACUGGAGAGGAGACUGGAAUUCAUGGUGUAGCGGUGAAAUGCGUAGAUAUCGUAAGGAAGACCAGUGGCGAAGGCGGGUCUCUGGACAGUUCCUGACGCUGAGGCACGAAGGUCAGGGGAGCAAACGGG
rnacentral:rRNA from 1 species